rnacentral:rRNA from 1 species
GAUGAACGCUGGCGGUAUGCUUAACACAUGCAAGUCGAACGGACUCUUAGGAGUUAGUGGCGGACGGGUGAGUAACGCGUGAGAAUUUGGCUUCAGGUCGGGGACAACAGUUGGAAACGACUGCUAAUACCGGAUGUGCCGGAAGGUGAAAGAUUUAUCGCCUGAAGAUAAGCUCGCGUCUGAUUAGCUAGUUGGUGGUGUAAGGGACUACCAAGGCGACGAUCAGUAGCUGGUCUGAGAGGAUGAUCAGCCACACUGGGACUGAGACACGGCCCAGACUCCUACGGGAGGCAGCAGUGGGGAAUUUUCCGCAAUGGGCGAAAGCCUGACGGAGCAAUACCGCGUGAGGGAGGAAGGCUCUUGGGUCGUAAACCUCUUUUCUCAAGGAAGAAGAAAGUGACGGUACUUGAGGAAUAAGCAUCGGCUAACUCCGUGCCAGCAGCCGCGGUAAUACGGAGGAUGCAAGCGUUAUCCGGAAUGAUUGGGCGUAAAGGGUCUGUAGGUGGUACUGAAAGUCUGCUGUUAAAGAGCAAGGCUCAACCUUGUAAGAGCAGUGGAAACUACAGAACUAGAGUGCGGUAGGGGCAAAAGGAAUUCCUGGUGUAGCGGUGAAAUGCGUAGAUAUCAGGAAGAACACCGGUGGCGAAAGCGUUUUGCUAGACCGCAACUGACACUGAGGGACGAAAGCUAGGGGAGCGAAUGGGAUUAGAUACCCCAGUAGUCCUAGCCGUAAACGAUGGAUACUAGGCGUGGCUUGUAUCGACCCGAGCCGUGCCGGAGCUAACGCGUUAAGUAUCCCGCCUGGGGAGUACGCACGCAAGUGUGAAACUCAAAGGAAUUGACGGGGGCCCGCACAAGCGGUGGAGUAUGUGGUUUAAUUCGAUGCAACGCGAAGAACCUUACCAAGACUUGACAUCCUGCGAAUUUUCCUGAA